AGAGUUUGAUCAUGGCUCAGGAUAAACGUUUGCGGCGUGCCUGAUGCAUGCAAGUCGAACGCUCCGGUUUAUCGCGAGAUUCGCCGGGGAGUGGCGAACGGCUGAGUAACACGUAAGUAACCUGUCCCUAAGUGGGGGAUAACCUGUCGAAAGGCAGGCUAAUACCGCAUACGCUGAUAAGCGUCAGUUUAUCAGGAAAGCUUUUGCGCUUGGGGAGGGGCUUGCGUCUGAUUAGCUAGUUGGUAAGGUAAUGGCUUACCAAGGCGAUGAUCAGUAGCUGGUCUGAGAGGACAACCAGCCAGACGGGGACUGAGAUACGGCCCUGACUCCUACGGGAGGCAGCAGCAAGGAAUUUUGCGCAAUGGGCGAAAGCCUGACGCAGCGACGCCGCGUGGGGGAUGAAGGCCUUCGGGUUGUAAACCCCUUUUCUAGAGGAAGAAAUCUGACGGUACUCUAGGAAUAAGUCUUGGCUAACUACGUGCCAGCAGCCGCGGUAAUACGUAGAAGGCGAACGUUAUCCGGAUUUACUGGGCGUAAAGCGGGUGUAGACGGUUUUCUAAGUCAGUCGUGAAAUCUCCCGACUCAAUCUGGAGAUUGCAAUUGAUACUGGAGGACUUGAGGGCAUCAGAAGAAAGUAGAAUUCACGGUGUAGCGGUGAAAUGCGUAGAUAUCGUGAGGAAUACCAGUGGCGCAAGCGGCUUUCUAGGAUGCUCCUGACGUUGAGGCCCGAAAGUGUGGGGAGCGAAACGGAUUAGAUACCCGUGUAGUCCACACCCUAAACGUUGAAUACUAGGUAUAGGGGGUAUCGACCCUCUCUGUGCCGAAGCUAACGCUUUAAGUAUUCCGCCUGGGGACUACGGUCACAAGGCUAAAACUCAAAUGAAUUGACGG
rnacentral:rRNA from 1 species